AAUGAUUCCCCUAGUAACGGCGAGUGAAGAGGGAUAAGCUCAAAUUUUAAAUCUGAUCGGUUUUACUUAUCAGAAUUGUAAUUUGAAGAAACGUUUUCUGUGUCUUGAAUUAGCCUAAAUCUUUUGGAACAAGGUAUCAUGGAGGGUGACAAUCCCGUUCAUGGUUAAUUUUAAGGCGCGUUAAGAUACGUUUUCAAAGAGUCGAGUUGUUUGGGAUUGCAGCUCAAAAUGGGAGGUAAAUUUCUCCUAAAGCUAAAUAUUGGCGAGAGACCGAUAGCGAACAAGUACCGUGAGGGAAAGAUGAAAAGAACUUUGAAAAGAGAGUUAAACAGUACGUGAAAUUGUUGAAAGGGAAACGAUUGAAGUCAGUCGUACUAACGGGAAAUCAACCUUUUUGAGUCGUAAAUUUUGGAUUUUGAAGAGUUUUUAAACCUUCGGGUUCAAAUAUUUGCACUUUUUAGGCGUAAUUUCUCGUUCGGUAGGUUAACAUCGAUUUUGAACAUUAUAAAAUGAUCGGAGGAAUGUAGCUUCGAUCUUGUAUUGAAGUGUUAUAGCCUUUGGUAGAUGUAAUGAUCGAGAUCGAGGAUUGCAACGAAUACCCUUUUGGGCUAUCCGUCUGAUCUCUGAUACGUUGCCUCGGUAACGAAAGCGUGCUUUACGGUAUUGAGGUAUUACGGUCAAAAGGUUAGAACGUGAUUACAUUCGUUAAGGAUGUUGACGUAAUGGCUUUAAACGACCCGUCUUGAAACACGGACCAAGGAGUCUAACAUAUGUGCGAGUGUU
rnacentral:rRNA from 1 species